AUUGAACGCUGGCGGCAUGCCUAACACAUGCAAGUCGAACGGCAGCAUGACCUAGCUUGCUAGGUUGAUGGCGAGUGGCGCACGGGUGAGUAAUGCGUAGGGAUAUACCUUAAAGUGGGGGAUAACCUGGGGAAACCCAGGCUAAUACCGCAUGAGCUCUGAGGAGGAAAGCUGGAGACCGAAAGGCCUGGCGCUUUAAGAUUAGCCUAGGUCCGAUUAGCUAGUUGGUAGGGUAAAGGCCUACCAAGGCGACGAUCGGUAGCGGGUCUGAGAGGAUGAUCAGCCACACUGGGACUGAGACACGGCCCAGACUCCCACGGGAGGCAGCAGUGGGGAAUAUUGGACAAUGGGGGGAACCCUGAUCCAGCCAUGCCGCGUGUGUGAAGAAGGCCUUAUGGUUGUAAAGCACUUUAAGCGAGGAGGAGGCUCUUUUGGUUAAUACCCAAGAUGAGUGGACGUUACUCGCAGAAUAAGCACCGGCUAACUCUGUGCCAGCAGCCGCAGUAA
rnacentral:rRNA from 1 species